UAGGGAAUCUUCCGCAAUGGACGAAAGUCUGACGGAGCAACGCCGCGUGAGUGAAGAAGGAUUUCGGUUCGUAAAACUCUGUUGUUAGGGAAGAAAAAAUGUAUAGUAACUAUAUACAAAAGAGACGGUACCUAACCAGAAAGCCACGGCUAACUACGUGCCAGCAGCCGCGGUAAUACGUAGGUGGCAAGCGUUGUCCGGAAUUAUUGGGCGUAAAGCGCGCGCAGGUGGUUUAGAAAGUCUGAUGUGAAAGCCCACGGCUCAACCGUGGAGGGUCAUUGGAAACUAAUAAACUUGAGUGCAGGAGAGAAAAGUGGAAUUCCUAGUGUAGCGGUGAAAUGCGUAGAGAUUAGGAGGAACACCGGUGGCGAAUGCGGCUUUUUGGCCUGCAACUGACACUGAGGCGCGAAAGCGUGGGGAGCAAACAGG
rnacentral:rRNA from 1 species